rnacentral:rRNA from 1 species
GAAACUCUGAUGCAGCGACGCCGCGUGAGCGAAGAAGGCUUUCGAGUCGUAAAGCUCUGUCCUAAGAGAAGAAGAAGUGACGGUAACUUAGGAGGAAGCCCCGGCUAACUACGGCACAGCAGCCGCGGUAAUACGUAGGGGGCUAGCGUUGUCCGGAAUUGCUGGGAGUAAAGGGUGAGUAGGUGGUCAUUAAAGUCAGAUGUAAAAGGCAAUGGCUCAACCAUUGUAAGCAUUUGAAACUUAAUGACUUGAGUGCAGGAGAGGUAAAUGGAAUUCCUAGUGUAGCGGUGAAAUGCGUAGAUAUUAGGAAGAACACCAGUGGCGAAGGCGAUUUACUGGACUGUAACUGACAGUGAGUCACGAAAGCGUGGGGAGCGAACAGGAUUAGAUACCCUGGUAGUCC